CUUUUAAUGGGUUCCUUCCUAUAACUAACAAUCUCCUGCUUACUCGUCUUAAAAAGUUUCAUCUUCAUGUGGUCUCUUUUUUUCUUCUGCUGUCCCUUCCUCUUCCUCUUUCUCCUCUUUAAAGCAGCAGGUUGUUUUACUUCUUGAUUAGAGUAUUUUCACAAGUGGUCACUGUUUUUGAGAAGUCUCCAAUAACUUGGUCAAGAUUAGAUCAUUGUAUUUGACUAAAAAGUCAAGCCCUGGCAGGAAGGUGAUUACUGAGGCAAUGUCUUGUUAGAUAAACCUGCAUUGCAUGUACCGUUUCCAAAUUUUAGCAGACUAAACUGUGCAGCAUUGUUUGAAUUUCCCCCUCCAACUCACUCUGGCUAUUAAUCUGCCUUAGGAGAUAGGUAGCUGGCCGUUCUCAUUGUUAUAUAUCUAGCAGUCUCUGGAGGAAAGAGAAUUCAGACCUGGUAACUGAGAGCAAAAUAUUUAUACAGACACAAGAAUGGGGGUGGGCAGGAAGGGAGGGUUGUAACUGAAAAAAGGCAGACCAAAACAGUUUUGACAACUUAAAUUUAUUGUAACUGCCCAACAAAGGAAGUAGAGUUGGAGGUUUAUCUGCAAGAGGUUUUUUUUUGUUUUGUUUUUUGUUUAGUAGCUCCACCUCUUAAUUUAUUAUUAUUAUUCA
rnacentral:lncRNA from 10 species